UCGAGAUUGUAAAAUUAUAAAAAACGUACCAAUUGGGUUUAAUUUAUGUAUUUAAAUAUUAUCAAAAAAUAUUUAACAGGGGUAGCUUAAGCGUUUUUUACAGCCGUGUGUUCCAAAAAUGCCAUGUGCAAUCAAAUUUUUAUUGGUGAAUGCACCAGGGGUAGCUUAAGCGUUUUUUACAGCCUUUAUAACCCUCUCCACCAACAUUUUCAUUUUAAUCUCUCGGAAACCCUCUCAAGCUAUACAGAAACCCUCUCAGCGUCUCUUCAUCUUUCGUUUUAAUCUCCAGCUUUCUUGAUGGCGUCCUCAAGGUAAUCACUUUCGUUUUCGUUUUCUUUCGUUUUCGUUUUCGUUUUCUUUCAUUUUUGUAAUCACUAAUCUAUGCAUGUAAUCAUUUUUUUCUUUUUCAUAGCAAUCACUCUGCCUCGAACUCGGUAACACAGCCCAUAUAUACAGAGAAUGUGGAGAAAUCUCUGUGCAACCUGAACGGUCACCUGGCGACCCUCCGUGAGCAGAUGGUGGAACUCACCCAGUUGACUGCUACCUUGAACAAAAUGGUGGAGCUGCUCGGGGAUGAUCUCAAAGCAGUGAUGAUGGAGCAAUCGCAACUGGUGUAGCGACUGCGUCAUGGGCGUUGAGGCGGGUUGCUGGUGGACUGGUGGACUUUUGAUUAUAAUUAAGUAUGUUUAUGUUUAUGUUUUUAAGGACUUUUAUUAAUUAAGAACUUUAAGUAUGUUUAAGUAUGUUGAUGGUAUGGUGGAUUUUAAGUAUUGUUGAUUACGGUAACAGAUUUUUAAGUAUGGUAUGGUGGAUUUUUAUGUAUUGUUUAUGGUUUAGUUUAUGGUUAAUUAAGUAUGUUUGUUUCGUUUGUAUGCAUCUGAUUUUAGUUUAUGGUGGUUUCAUUUUUUCAUGUUAGUGUAUGGUUUAGUUUAUGGUGAUUUAAGUAUCUGAUUUUAGUUUAAGUAUGGUGAGUUGAUGUUGUUUUUUCAUGUUGGUUUCGUUUAUGCAUCUGACUUAAGAUGUUUUGUUUAAGUAUGGUCUUUUGUUUCUUUUGUCUUUUGGUUUCUCAGUUUGUAUUCAUCUGAUUUUGAAGUUUUGUUUCUUUCUCAGUUUUUGUCUUAAUGAUUCUUUUGAAAAGCCAGUAGCGUGUAUAGUUUACUCAAUUAGACUAAAAAUUUGCUGAGGUGAUUAUAGUUUUUGUAUUUAUGGCUGCUGAGGUGAUAUGCCCACUUGCCCACUUGCAUUUGGCUUUAAAAUACAAGUGUAUAGUGUUGGCAUUUGGCUUUAAAAUGCCAACAGACUAAAAAGUGGGUUUUCUUCGUAGCUUAAAAUGCUUAAAAUUAUUUAAACUCGUUUUUUGUAAAUCCUUAAAACUCGUUUUAUUCAAACUAAUGCCCCUUCUGAAUACCAUAAACUCGUUUUUUGUAAAUCUUUCCCAAAGAGUUUUUGAAUAAUUCACUUGUUUUUCCCAUAAUUCACCAUAGUUUAUUCCAUAAUUCACAAUAAACACAAAUAGCACCAUAAACACAAUUAGCACCAUAAAUACAACAUAAACUGAAAGAAUUAGUACAUGGAUUUAAAUUAGUACAUGGAUUUAAAUUAGUACCAAAGAAGCUCAAUAUAUAUGUACAUGGAUUUAAAUUCAAUCAAUUGUAAACCACAGAAAAUGAAUUCGAAUUUGAAUGAAAAAUGGAUUUAGAUUUGCACCUGGGCUCAUGGUUUGGACCACAUGAGACUCACCUGGUCAACUCAGUCAACAACUGAGUUGACUCGCUUCCAUGCUUCGAGUAAACAACUGAGUUGACUCGCUUCCACCAUGCUUCGUUAUCUCGAACGAAGCUUCGAGACUCACCAUUCUUAAUCAACUGAGUUCCCCUGCAAUAAAUCUAGAACAAAAUUAGAAACAAUUCAUGGAUUUAAAUUCAAUCAAUUGUAAACCACAGAAAUUGAAUAUUUAUUAAUGAUUGUCGAAUUCGAAGGCUUUCAACAAUCCAUGGAUUAGAUUAUUGAUUUAGGAGCCUCGAUUUCGUUUUCGAUUUGCGAAGAGGGGAAGAGAGGGGAUGAAAAUGAAAAAUGAAAGAAGAGAGAGAAGAGGAAAAAUGAAAGAAGAGAAGAGGAAAAAUGAAAGAAGAAGAUAAAAUUGAGAAAAUGAAAAAAG
rnacentral:lncRNA from 1 species